UGUGCUGUGUGUGUGCUGUGUGUCUGUGUCUCUGUGUGUGUGUGUCUGUGUGCUGUGUGCGUGUGUGUGUGAGCCCCAUGUUGCUGUUGGCCUGGCACACUUGUUAGGAAUCGUGUGGACCUCCCUGAGGCUGGCCGGGCCACCGUGCUCCCCUGUCCAUCUGGGUCAGGCUGUAUGCCCACGGACCAGCACUUGUACCAGUGCACGUCUCUGCUGCAUGAGUGGAGGGUCAUGCCGGCUGGUCCGAGGUCUUCAGCCCAGAGGCCGUGAAGCAGUGUGAAUGGUACCCGUCCUUCCCUGAGCCGCUGCAUCUUCUGAGUCCUGCGGACACUGCUCCUGUGCACUCGGAAGGCCGGCUGGCAGGUGGCUCUGUCCGCAGGGAAGAGCUGGUGGUGUAGACCCCACGGCAGCGUCCUUCCUUAGGUCUUGUUUUGCCGUGGACACCUGUGUGUUUAUCUCCAGGGGUGGUUCUCCUGCAGGCGGCUUAGUGUCUGUUUAGGAUGUGAACACAAGGUUUCCUUGUAAACUACCCUCUUAGGCCUGCCCGCCCAGUGCUCCUUUUUUAUAAGGAAUAGUUUGCAGCACUGCCCUUCCCACCUUGAGGUCGGGCCCCUGCGCAGUCACCAGAGCAGUGCUACACCUGUGUGAGUUUCUGGAGGGCGGGAGACUUUUCGCAGAGCCCAGAAUUGAACACAUUUGCACGCAGAUGUGUGCCUGCAAAAGUCACACUGUGGUGAGUUGCGUGAGAAAUGUUAGGGUUUCUGUCUACGCUGAGAUUAUCUGUACACAGGCUUCUGCCUACUGGUGUCUGGGGUGUGCAUGGGGGGGUGUGGGGCGGAGGACAGCGCCCGGGGCCCUGGAAUCGCCUGCUCCCUCCAGGCCCCCGGCGCUCGGCAGCGCCCGUCAGCUGGGAUGCGUGUGGGGAGCAACCUGCUUCAGGGUCCUGUGCUCCAUGGGGAGUGAAGGCGCAGUUCACGGAAUGUGGUGUUUGUAAGCAGAAUGGGUCUGGCUGUUUGAUGAAGUCACUUUAUACGUCCUCAAGGAGGCAGAGGUGGGAGUGCGCUGAAGAGGGUGGCGACCAAGUGUGAGGGGGACAGUGGCCCCGGGCAGGACGGGGUGUCAGGCACCUGGAGUGUGGGACCCGAGGUCAUGGGCUUCUGCUGCUCAAGGAGCCUGAAAGAGGUGGCAGGAGGCUGUGAGCACGCUGGGCCUGCCUGGUGCCCUUUGUGUGGGUCACUGUGCACAGACUGUGCGGUCCAACCCUUCCUGUCCAAGGUGUGUGGGGAACAUGGCCGUCACGUCUUGGUGCUGAGAUGGGGCCCACGAACCUGCUUGCAGGCUCCCGAAGCAGGGCAUUGGCCUCCAGGGUGGGUUCCCCUCACCCAGCUCGGGAGUGCAGGAGCCCACAGGAGAGUCCCUGUGCCUCUACCUGCUGUGUCCCCUGCCCAGGUCCUGGAGGCAGUGGGGUUAGUGAGGGAGGUCAUGGGAGGGAUGGAGGUGGUGGGAGCAUUGAGGGGGUGGAGGUUGUGGCAGGGACGGAGGUGUCCCACGAGGGGAGAGGGUAAACUGCCUUAGACGUGCCACACUCCACACACUCAUGCCACACACAUGCACAGGCCCUGGUCCCCCCCAUGGGCACACUCUGGGGAGCCACCCCCACUCCUGGAACCUUGGAAGGGGCCCGAGGGUGGCCCCCGUGCCCCCAGUUAGAAACCAUGCCCUACGGUGCUAGCUCCUGCUCAAGCACCUGUAGAGGCCGCGACUCCUUCACCUACCACUUGUCACGCUGGCCACUGCUGGAGGGGCAUUGGUUUCUGCCCGCGCAGGGGUAUGGAGGGGCGGGAGUGACCUGAGCAGAGCUCCCACCCCGGGGAGGGGGUGCUGGCUGUGGCACAGGAGCCUGGCCUGGCAGCUCCUUUCACGUGGCCGGCCGUGGGCUCCUGGGAUGCCCACACUGCAGGGAGGCCUGCGUGCUGACUCACGCUCCUCCCCUCCCCUCCUUUCCCCUCCCCUCUGCAGCUACAUCUGCAGCUGCAGGGGUGUGGCUACGGCCAGUCAGAGAUGAUGGGGCAAGGGGGCCCAGAACACCUGCACAUGACAGGAGGCUUAUUUUUACACAUCGUUGACUGCAAAUAAUCCACUUUAUUUAAGGAGAAUGUGGAUUCCAAGUGUUAAAAAAAGCACCCAGCAGGGUGCCGGGCUCUGUGGUGCUGUGUGAGCAGAGCCCCUCUGUGAGCCCACAGCUCUGGGGUGCAGGGCACCCCCGAGCAGGAGCAGCUCUGGCCGUGGCUGAAGGCUCAGCCCUGUCUCGUGGGAUGUGGCUGUCCCUCCUCUGUGAGGGGUCCCGAGAUUUAUCUCUGGAUUUCUGCCAAGUGCCAGACCAUGUUGGCCUCUGUUUUGUGUGUAUUUUAUUUCUGAGUUUCCAUAACUUGGAUGGUUUUGAAUAGUUAACGCACACACUCCACUCCGUUAGGCCGUGUGGCAGGCUGUGCAGGGAGGACGACACCCCCCAUCCCCAUCCUGGCCAGGCCCUUGGGUGCUCGCUGCACACUCCAGCAUGGCUGUCACGCCAGGGCUCUGGAGCUGCAUCGGGUGCUGGCGGGCCCGGUGCAGGUGUCUGGGUGUCAGAUUGCAGGCCGAUGGCCGCCUGGUCCUGGGGACACAGGCUGGAUUGCCGCCUCCUGUCCAGGAGUCCUGAAGAAGAGCCUUUUUUCUCUGGAUAGGAUGUCUGUGUUGCAAGGAAGUUAAUGGUUAAAGGAACAGAAGAAAGCCAAACUUCCUGUUCGUCUCCCACCCGAGACACCACGGAGACUUAACACUCUGGCGCUUGCUUUUACCCACACGCCCAUGAGUGUCUCUUAGUAAAUGGACCCACGCCAUACUCAAAGCCGCACGCUUUCCUCAUGUAGCCCAGCGGCCUCUGCAGACUUCUGUGUCCUGGCAUCCGUGUCAAGCCUGCCUGGUCUUGACCUUUCCCGCCUCUUCUGCCCUGCUCCCUGGGGCUCUCUCCCGAGCUCCCUUCCAGACUCUGGGUGGGGUCCUCCGUGCCUCUGUCAGUUUCUGGGGAUGUGGACAGCCACUAGCCCCUGGCCUGCAGCCGCCCGGCCGUCCUCACACCGCCGUCCCUUUGCACGUAUUUCGUGUCCUGGUCUCCCCUUGUGAAGGACCCAGAUGGGACCAGGGCCUCCCAGUGACCUCAUUUAACUUUGUUUUUAAUUUUUAUUAUUUUUAAUGUUUUAUUUAUUUUUGAGAAAGACAUAGAGCA